UACGAAGGGGGCUAGCGUUGCUCGGAAUUACUGGGCGUAAAGCGCACGUAGGCGGCUUAUUAAGUCAGGGGUGAAAUCCUGGAGCUCAACUCCAGAACUGCCUUUGAUACUGAUGAGCUUGAGUUCGGGAGAGGUGAGUGGAACUGCGAGUGUAGAGGUGAAAUUCGUAGAUAUUCGCAAGAACACCAGUGGCGAAGGCGGCUCACUGGCCCGAUACUGACGCUGAGGUGCGAAAGCGUGGGGAGCAAACAGG
rnacentral:rRNA from 1 species